GAUCUUUAAGAAGUUUAGUUCGUUUUGUUUUGAAAACAAAAAGAGGGGUAUAUAUUCCCAAAGAUCU
rnacentral:tRNA from 1 species